UUGAGCUUCUAAUCGGCACGGUUAGCAGAGGCUGAAAGACUGUACGUACCCCGUCCAGUGUAUGGCAGAGAUGGUAGAGAUCAUUGGUUUCUACUGCGCGCCGCCAUCUUCCUCCGAACCACGCAAGUACCAUUGAAUUUUAUACUAACUGGACGCGCACAGGGCGAAUGGUGUGGGACAAAUUGAAGGCAGCCAUUUAAACUUCGACUUUUACAGGCCCAAUCAGAUUUGGUUUAUUUGAUCGCAGUUAGCUGCAGUCAGCGUUGCAUACAUAACGAUAAGUGAUUUAAGUGAUUGUUAACGUGAUUGAUAAAAUUGAAAAAUGAGGUGUUGUGAACCCGAGCGUAGGCAAAAAAGUGAAACUGGAAUCUCAUUUCAUAAAUUUCUGAAUGGGGACUAUGAUCGAGCAAAGGCAUGGUUUGAAGCGAUUUCAACAUUUUUAGUUUAAUUUAGGCAAGGUCCAGUUCCUGUAUCACAGCAAGGAAAACGAACCUGCCGAUGUCUGAGUACAUCGCGGACUUUGGACCGGUGGUUCAACAAUUCAGACCCGAGUGUAUAACCGUGACUACAACGCAACCAAACAAGAUCGAACAAGUGAUUUUUUGGAUGCGGUGAAAAUAGAAAUAAAAAUGGAAAUGGAAAUGAAAAUGGGCAUCUCUGCUCCGUUCUGUUUCUAUGUAUCGAAUGUCUCUACGUUCCACUGGUUCAGUUAGUCUCAAUUGUUAGAAACACGUAAGCUUGCACACUAAAUCUAAUUAAGUAUAUCAAUGG